rnacentral:lncRNA from 1 species
UCCCGCUGCUUAAGAGGAAAUGGGGUGAUCAGGAUCUGAGUAGAAAGAGCUUCAUGAAAUUCAAAGACUUGUGGGGAGCUGAGGCAAGACAGGCAAGAGAAAACGAGACACUUCUCCAAAUUUUGCACGGCUCAGCUCUUUCUGCGGUGGUUUCAGACAGAUGGCAGAGUUUUACUGAGUGUGGCAAUCUUGCCCAGCCUCUGACAUCGUACAGGUUGAUACCCAUCAGGUUGUCCUUGUAUGGACCACGGGAGAAGGGGCUGGCGCCUCCUGGGAGGAUCCACGUUUGA